rnacentral:rRNA from 1 species
AGAAUCAACGCUGGCGGCGUGCCUAACACAUGCAAGUCGAACGAGAAAGUGGAGCAAUCCAUGAGUAAAGUGGCGACCGGGUGAGUAACACGUGACUAACCUACCCUAGAGUGGGGAAUAACUUCGGGAAACCGAGGCUAAUACCGCAUAACAUCGCAGAGGGAAGAUCUUUGCGAUCAAAGGAGCAAUUCGCUCAAGGAGGGGGUCGCGGCUGAUUAGCUAGUUGGCGGGUAACGGCCCACCAAGGCGAAGAUCGGUA